GACCCCUAAGGUCAAAGAGCCCUCUCUGAUUUUGAAAAGGAUCAAUUCCACCUAGGACCACACGAGUCCACUUGGGAAGAGGCUCAUUCCUUAGGGGAACCUUGAGAUGACUAGAGACCCAGCUUAAAUCUCAACUGCAGUCUGUUAGAGACAGAAGUAAAGGAUCUGCUAAAUCACACCUGGAUUCAAGUGAUCUUCAGAAACUGAGAUAGAAAGUUUUGUUUCAAGCCACUAAGUUUUGGGGAAACUUGUUUGGUACUAACAUAACUAAUCAAGAAACUUAUCUCUUAACACCACAACUUGCUAUUAUCUCAUUUGUGUAUUUAUAUGAACUGAGUUACACUGCUGUUUUGUGAUGUUUUACAACGUGGGUUCAUCAUUACAUUUUUAGAUUCAUUCAAGUUGUUGAGUUCAGUAAUAAUAAGAUGUUUCUAUAUGUACCUAGGAAGAGAACAAUUUAGUUACAUAGUAUGUAUUUGUUCAUUUCAGGGUAGAUAAUAGGAAACAGUUUUAGUACAACUUUCCCAAUUUAUGUUCUCACCAGGAGAGAAUAACAAUUUACAAUGUUUCACAUGCUAACCACCUCUCACAAGUGCCAGAACUUUAAAUUGGCAUGAAUCUAGUGAGUGUAUAGUUUUGAGGUGUGUGUGUGUGUGUGUGUGUGUGUGUGUGUGUGUGUGUAUUCUGUUAAUCUUUGGUUUGCCUUUUCAUUUUCUUAAUGUUGUCUUUGAAGAAUAAGAAUUCUUCAUUUUAAUAUAGUUAAACUGAUAUAUUCUUUGUUUACAUUUAGUGCUUUUCUGUCCUAUUUCCCAACCUAGAAGACAUGAAAGAAUGUCCUGACAAUUUCUGAAAAAAAUUGGUUUUCCUUCACAUUUUGGUCAAACAUUCACCUAAAAUUGAUUUUUUCCCUGAAUGCCAGGAGUAUUAUUUAAUUGAGUUUUAUUUCUUUCACAUACAGAUAUAAGCUACCCUGGAACCAUUUAGAGAAAGAUUAUCCUCUCCCUGUAAUUGCAGUGGCUUGGCUGUCCAUGCAUGGUGAAGAUGACCUCCCUGCUUGUGGAAGACAAUCUGAGACACAGUUGCAUCAAUUACCUUCUGACACUGUCACUCCCAUAAGCAAGAUUAUCCAGACAGAACAUGGGAGUGCAGUGAAUUUCACCAAAGAUGUGGAUGUGGGAACUUUUGCCUGAGAUGUCUUGGCCUCUCAUAUUUGAAGUAACCAACAACUCUCAUGCCCCUUUCCAAUUCUCUAGCUUCACUCUCCCUCUUUUCUUUCUGCAUUUGAAACAAGUACCACAGGCAGUUCUGAUGUAAUUUGUGCAUGUGCAAUGCAUUCAUAAAAGGUCAGAGUAAACAAACAAGAAUAAACAUCAGUGUUACUUUUACAGAUGUCCAGCGUAAAUGAGAUGGAAUUUUUCUAUGUUAGAGAAUCUUUGCAAUCUCAAGCAUGGCUACUACCAAAAUAUGCAAGAAACAAAUUCUUGAAUUUAAGGUGUCUGAAAGGUAAACCUCUUUUCUCUCUGUUUCUAAGGGGCUCAGCAAGGAGCCUCCAGGGAGCACAUGAGGACAGCAGGCAAGAAGAAGUGACCCUAGAGCAGUAGCUCUGCAAGGACUGAGGUUAUUUGGUCACAGCAACAAAAUGAAAGUUGACAAACAAAGAUGAACUCUUGUGUCCCUUGUAGAGGUCUUUAUUGCAGGCUUAAGUGAACACAUCAGGAGGAGCAGCACAUUGUGGUAGUGCCUGGCAUAGUUUUCUCCCCACAGCUGUCUCUGGACCAAUGGAGAUGCUGAGCCACCUGAGGUGCAGCUCUCCUGCGCCACACACCAUGAGGCUAUCUGCACUUCUUCCUGAUACCUUUGUCCAUCCAUUAUUGUGAAAUUCAUAUUUUUUGUUAAUUUCUUGUCUUUGCUUUCCACAUUUACCUUCUCUGAAAAAGUACUCAUAUGUCACUAACAAUGAUCUUUGCAUAUCAAUAAAAAUAUUUAC